rnacentral:lncRNA from 1 species
AAAUCUAGGUCCAGAUGUGCACAUGGGCACCAAGGGACUUGUGAGGAACUUGACAGUGUGGGUGUGCAUGAGUCUGUGACUGGAAACAACCAGAACGCCUAUCAGCAGAACAGAUACGUGGAUUGUGGCAUUAUCCCACAAUGCAGACGGCUCAACGGUGAGACUGAACAAAUCAGUAUGUCGGAACACCUGAUGGAUCUUAGGAAUGUACAUGGAACACCUAAAGGAAAAAACCACACUGCUGAGUGCAAAUCACAUACGCUCGGGAACAGACAGCAGUCAGCAACGUUACAGAGGUCUUCCAUGAGAUUGAAUGUGCUCGUACUGGGACAUAGAGGAAGAACAGAUUUCUGAAUCCAGGCUCAGCCUUGGGAUGGACAAUCUGGGAUACAGCCUGGUGAGGAGAACAUGACAGAGAACAAUAAAGGACAAGGGGUAAUAUAGAUCACCCUGGAGUAUACUAACACUGGGGUCCAGCAAGGAGCUCUGGCUUGAGCAGUUUCCUGAGCAGUGAGAGCUAUUGGAGGAGAAGAUGAGGCUCCAGCACAGCCCUCAGGACUCUUGACAGGUAAGCUCAUUAGACAUGACUGUUAAAAAGAACCUGAGAACGGUCCAGAAAGAUAAGACGUCUCCAAACAUGCUCUGGCCAUGUAAAUGGCCAGGCUGAUCAGGGGACUAUAGUAGCAGCUGGGAUCAGUGCACACUCUCACCAGUGGAAGCUCUUCAACCACUGUGGAGUUAGAGACACCCACAGACAAUGCAGGACAGAGUCACCUAUGAGGGCCCUAUGAGGCAAAAGUCCACGCUACCUUUAGGGCCUAAAUUUCAACAGUGAAUAGCAAUAGAAAGACACACAGGGAAGAGAAGAAUAAUUAAAUGAUACAGUACUUUUCUUUGGCUGUUACUUUAAAAAAUGCAAACUCCAGGGCCUGAGCCAGGAGCAGGAAGGCAUUAUUCGAGUCAACUCAGUGGUGAAACAUGAAAGCGAUAUUGAACUCUUUACUAGGGGGGUUGCGGGUAGAGAUUCAAGCCAUUAAUUUGAUAGGUUAAAAAUAUGUCAGUGCAAAUCUACAAUCUGAUUUUGUGAAGCAUCUAUGCCACCCGCAUAGGAUGCCAGAGACUUCUGCACAAUUGGCUUAACUUUGGCAGACAUGUUAUACCCCUGCAAAACUGACAGCAUCAGAUUUUUGCUAGCAAUUAA